rnacentral:lncRNA from 10 species
UAAACAACUUCAACGGCCUUUCCAUGCCCAAAGACACUGCAGCAGAGCCGUCUAUGAAUGACAGAUGAAAUGCCUUAGAGUCUUAGUUCCAAACCACCUCCCCGGACAGUCGGAAAUCCCACUGGCUGGAGGAAUAAAUAAAUUCCUUAUCUUGUCAAGGAAGCUCCUCCCAAGCUACAAAAGUUGCAGACAGCAAAGGGAUCAAGUGACCCCAGAGAUGAAAUCUGUGACUCUCUGGUGGAGCAACAUGAUAGUAAUAAACAAAGGUUGAGUGCCUGCUGUAUAAAGCAACCUCUGGAGUGCCUGAUAUCUACUAACUCUUUUAGCACCCACUCGACCCUGUGAGAUGCGUAUUACUUUAUUGUAUCUACCACUGUAAAAAAGAAUGAACCAAGCUACAGCAAUAUUAUGUUGCUUGCCCUGAGUCACACAGCUGAGUAAGUCACAGGAGUUUGUGCUCAUAAUGACUUUGCUAUGCUGAUGUUUGAACCUGGAACCAUUCAGCAACCCUCCAGCUAAUAUGGCUCCAUGCUCUACUUCUGGAAAAGCUGAGUUCCUGCAGCCUUGUCCUACAUCACCCAAAAGAGCUGGAAAAGAAUGCAGUGAGUUCCAUUCUAUUUGUUCCGAGAAUAGGAAAGCCACAUUGAAGCAAUAUCUUAAAGAGAAAUCUAUAGUUAGGAGUGAUGAAGAUUUGAAACAGAUGUCAGCAGAAAGAAAAAGGGAGAGGCACCAUGAUAAUUAUACUCAGUGAUGCUUUUUAAAUGACAUAUAUUCAGUUAAAUAUAGGGAGGUUUGCUGCUAGCCAUAUGAACAAAGCACAAGAGAAUUCCUGGAUCAAGGCAGACUUAAAGAGACAUUGAAAAAAAAACAAAAUUCAAAAUUUUGACCUAGUGCAGGAAGAAGUGCAAGUACAGGGGAAGUGGAGGGAAGGAGUGGGGAGGCUGGCACAGAGAUGGCACGGGCAGAUACGAGCAGAUUGACUCGCCAGGACUGUCAUUGGGCCACCGCUCUUAGCAGGAAUUUCACCAUUGAAUGACCUAAUUAUUGUCUUGGGAAAAACACAAGAGCUCCUGUCCAUAACAGGAUAACAGAUGUAUUUCAGUGGAGCACAGAAUAGGCCGGAUGGUGACUAGCAAGAAUAAAAGCCCAAGUGGACUGAAGAAUCCAUCCAAGAUAUGGUCAGGACGGGCUUGUGGAAAACUUGUGCAAUAAUGAGAAGAAAUGUUAUUUGUCACUACCUUUUUUAGGCAGCUGUGUGGAUAAACCUACUUUGGGGUAGGAGCUGAGCCUCAGGCCUGUGACCGCUAGAAGCCAGACUUGAAGCCAGGAAAGAGGCCGCUCUUCCCAGGAGUUGGGAGAAUUUGACUUUGGUGUAGAAUCCAAAAGGCGGGAGAGAGGGUUCCAGGGAGGAGCUGGGGGUGGAGGCUAAAAAAGGAGCCCUGGUUGCCAAAGCCAGGAGGUGACUUUACAGGAGAGCAGCAGUGACUAAGCCAGGAAGUGACUUUGCGGGAGAGCAGCAGUGACUAAUUCAGGAGGUGACUUUGCGGAAGAGCAGCAGUGACUAAGCCAGGAGGUGACUUUGCGGGAAAGCUGCAGUGAUUGUGAAGUUGUUCACAUACAGGGGGUCAUGGGACACCCUCUACGAUCUCCCGUGGGAAAUCCUCAGUAAGCACUCUCACUCUAGCAAUAAGCACUCUCACUCUAGAAAGCCCUUUUGGUGCUUCCAGUCACAUUGCCUGGCCCACGCUCGGUGAGAGCUCACAUGCGCUUCUGGUCCUGGCCUUCUCAGACGCCACAGUAGCUGCCCACCCUGCAAAAGACCUGGAAGGGGAGGGGAGCCUGUGCCACAGCAGCCAGAGGAUGAAUGUCCUGUCAUGAACAAUUCCUGGGGGCACUAUGUACAUUUUGUAGAAGUCCUGCCAGAAUGGAACCUUGCUGUCUACAGCAGCGACCUUGAUAACACAUCAUUUGAUUUUUCCUCCUUUUGUGACUCAUGCUUCUGCUACCUCACCCUGGCUUCCUGAGAUCACCUCCCAGAUGAACUCCCUGCACUGAAUUCUGGUCUCAGUUUGCUUUGGGGAGAACUCAAAACUAAGACAUUCACCACUGUGUUUGUGUGAGCCAAAUCUUCACAUCAUGAGCAGGCGCUAUGUCUGCGUUCAGCCAGACAAACAGCAAACCAGCAACUGCCCACAUGAAUACAGUCCAUGGACAAGAGGAGAGUGAUAGCUGAGCGACUUUGGGACUUGCUGUCAAAGAUACCUGUCUCCCUCUCUUUCAUUCUCUUUACCUUUCCAUCAGACUAUGUGGCUGCCUCAUUCCCCCGUGUCCUGCAAGCAAGGAUAUUAACUAUACAAACAGUCCAGCUUAAAACAAAAUGGGCAGAAUAUUUGAAUAGACACUUCACAAAGGAAGACAAACAAAUUACCAAUAAGUGUGUUAACAAUUCUUAACAUCGUUAGUCAUCAGGGAAGUGGAAAUUAAUACCACAAGGAGAAAUCACUACACACUAAAGUGGCUAAAAUGAAAAAGAGUAAUGACAUCAAAUUCUAAUCUGAGUAUAGAGCAACUGUUGAUGGAAAUAUAAGAUGGUACAGCCACUUUGGAUAUAAUAAAAUGAUGCAACCACUUUGGAAAAGUUUGGCAGCUUUAUGUAAAACUAAGCAAAUACCUUUGGCCCAGCAAUUCCACUCAAGCAAUCCUUCCCUAAAGAAAUAAAAAUAUAUAUCCGCCAAAAGAUUUGUACAAGA